AUGAACGCUGGCGGCGUGCCUAAUACAUGCAAGUCGAGCGAACGGACGAGAAGCUUGCUUCUCUGAUGUUAGCGGCGGACGGGUGAGUAACACGUGGAUAACCUACCUAUAAGACUGGGAUAACUUCGGGAAACCGUAGCUAAUACCGGAUAAUAUUUUGAACCGCAUGGUUCAAAAGUGAAAGACGGUCUUGCUGUCACUUAUAGAUGGAUCCGCGCUGCAUUAGCUAGUUGGUAAGGUAACGGCUUACCAAGGCAACGAUGCAUAGCCGACCUGAGAGGGUGAUCGGCCACACUGGAACUGAGACACGGUCCAGACUCCUACGGGAGGCAGCAGUAGGGAAUCUUCCGCAAUGGGCGAAAGCCUGACGGAGCAACGCCGCGUGGGUGAUGAAGGUCUUCGGAUCGUAAAACGCUGUUAUUAGGGAAGAACAUAUGUGUAAGUAACUGUGCACAUCUUGACGGUACCGAAUCAGAAAGCCACGGCUAACUACGU
rnacentral:rRNA from 1 species